rnacentral:pre_miRNA from 1 species
GGUGGGAUAGCUGGGCCAAAUGUGGUUCCAUUCCAAGUUUUCUAAGAAAUAUCCAUACUAACUUCUAAAGAGGUUGUACCAUUUUGCAAUCCCACCAGCAAU